AGAAAGUGAACAUAUGUGUAGAACCAGCAACGAAAAGGAAUUGAUUUUGGACCUCAAACUUCAAUCUACCAGUAAACUUAAUGGAGUUGACAGCAAGGAUAAUGUUGUUAUGAUGAUUAUUGAAGCGACAGGAAACAAUGGAAAUUUGUGAACAUGACAAGAUGCCACAAAAAGUCUAAAAGGCAAAUCAGACUAUUAGACAGCAACUCUAAGAAUUUUAAUCAGAGCUGGCUGACAGGGUAUUGCAUCAGAAAGCUGAAACAGACAUACAAAAAUCUACGAGACACUGUAGCUAUGGAAGCAAUGUCACAGAUGUUGCUGAACCUAGUUUCAUUUAUCUGUUUGCCUGGGCGUGAAUAAAACCUGCCCGCCUAUUUCAAGUACCUAAUGGCUAUUACUAUCUGGAUCAUUCAGUACUACAUCUCUGCCGGUCUUAUAUUGGAAUAGCUACCAUUGCUAAAUGUUAGUUUAUUUAGCACCAACGUCGAUUACAUUUAAUGUCGCUUUUUAAUUGUGAAGUAACCGUACCUGGUUCUGGACAUGACAGGCGCAUCAUAAUGUCU